rnacentral:rRNA from 1 species
GUAGGGAAUAUUGGGCAAUGGAUGCAAGUCUGACCCAGCCAUCCCGCGUGCCGGAAGAAGGCCCUCAGGGUUGUAAACGGCUUUUGACGGUGAAGAAUCGACAGGAUGCGUCCUGUUUUGACGGUAGCCGUUGAAUAAGCACCGGCUAACUCCGUGCCAGCAGCCGCGGUAAUACGGAGGGUGCGAGCGUUGUCCGGAUUUAUUGGGUUUAAAGGGUGCGUAGGCUGGAAGGUCAGUCAGCGGUGAAAAGCUGUCGCUUAACGAUAGUCUUGCCGCAGAUACUUCCUUUCUUGGAUGGGGAGGAGGCCACUGGAACGGAUGGUGUAGCGGUGAAAUGCAUAGAUAUCAUCCAGAACACCGAUUGCGAAGGCAGGUGGCUGUACCUUAAUCGACGCUGAUGCACGAAAGCAUGGGGAGCAAACAGGAUUAGAAACCCGGGUAGUCC